UAAUUUCAAAUAAGACUAAACCUUAUAUUUUAUUGGUUCUUGAAAAAUAUUUUAAAUUAAUAUAAUGUAAAUAUCCAUAUAAUAUGUACUAAAGUUGCAUUAUUGAAUAGACUUCUCACUUUUAAUUCCUAUUUUGAAAACAAUAUAAAAUAUUUUGUAUAUCUUUUUUCUCAAUAGCAAUGUUUGUUUGUUGUUCAAUGCUAUUCAAGUUGUAACAUUGAUCAUCCAAGAAUAUGAUUACAUAACCAUUUUUUGUUAUUUUUCCUACAUUAACAAGAUUUCUUUAAAGAAAUUGAAUAUGA
rnacentral:lncRNA from 1 species